GUAUAUAUGCGCAUAAAAUAUUACGAGAAAGGUUUCGUUUGUUGCACAUUUAAGCGCUUCAUAAAAAAAGAGACAGCAAUCAGUCACGUUUCGUGUCACGUACUACUAUAGCUAUAACGCGUGCGCGUUGCUACUAUAGCUUACGCAAUAUGCGAAUUUGUAGCUGUACACACACGUUCAUCUAUUUGCGCAGGACUUCGCAUUACGUAUAAUAUGUAACGCAUUUUCCCUGACGCGCGCUUUGUUGCACAUAUACCCAUUUUCGACGCGCGAGCGAAUAUGUAGAACCCGAAACAGCUAUUAAAUACAAUCCGAUCAAAUUAAUCACCCUGCCGGUCACACCAUUACCGAAUGAAUAUGACGAGGAACUUUGGUAUUAAUUCGGUAUUAAUUCGAGUUAAUGCAGGACAAAACCGUGGAAAUUGCGUACUUUGAAAAAAAUUGCUCUUUACCGAAGUGUAAUAUAUUGCUUGAUGAUGCGAUGAAAUGCUUGGAAGAACAAAAAAAGAGUACAUCUUAGUAAAUAGAUUUUAAUAAAUUUUACCAGAGCGACCGUAUAAACGAGAGUGACAAAACGUUACUGACUUUUGAAUGGAUUUACUUUCAAUUGAACUAUAAUCUAUCAAUAGUUACGAUACGUUAUGAUCAGCCGCGUCUCCAAUAAAGCUAUAUCGAGCGCAAUAACGAACGCGUAAUAGUUGGGCAGGAUCCUAGCUGCCAGGCAAUUUCGAUAUUAAUAUGGACCGGCUGUACGCGUGUACGCUGUGCAAACCCCUGGUACCGCCCUACGUGUCGUAUAAUCAAUGCCAUGUAGUAGGUAGCCAGGUAGUUUCAAACUUUAUGCCGCUGUAAACAGCCAUCUUACAGGUAUCGCAUAAGUAGGUCCGUGCACGUAUGAUAUCGCACGGAAAGCGAAUGUAAUACGAGGGAAACUUGCAAAACGCCGGACUAAGUUCAUCAGCGCCAAAUGCCGGAUAUAAUAUUUGGAGAAGAACACCGUAUGUGCGCGACCACCACGGUACGUUACACAGUACGCGUGAAUAUGUAUGUUCAUUGCACAUUCGCGGUUAAUGAUACGUCCAACAGCGUCCAUUGACACGCGCCUUACGAACGAUCGCUCAACAUUAAUUGUCGGCACAAUACGAGUUUCCACUUUGUUAAUGGAUAUUCGAUCAUCGAAAGAGACUUGAUUGAAUAGAAAUUUCCAUCAGACAGGCAGAAGGGUAUAUAUUCUUGUUAAGAGUACUUAUAUAUUCAUAUUGCAUCAUAUCCAUUUUAAUUACAAUUAUGAAUUUCGCCAAGAUGCAAGAACAUUGUUUUAAUAUUGAACACGCUAAAGGAUCCUUAAUGAAUGAAGCUGCAAAAGUGUAAUUAAAGGAGCGGAAGUUGAUUUUUUUAAAUGCUUAAAAUGAGCUUUGCUCUAAUUGAAAUUUAAUCGGGAAACUAAUUAUCAAGACGACCGGAAAUUGAAAUGCCCGCUGAAAGAAAAAGUGAACUUCGCUGGCUUGAAUAAUCAAUUAGCUGCUUUUUACGGCAGGUUUCGUACGUUUCGCACAGCAACGAAAAACUUGAUUGCACACAAGGCUUCCUAUAUUUUAAUAGUCGAUACUAUGCCUGCCAGAAAAACGCUUUGCGAUCGGAAAAUUCACGUGGCCUCGAAUCGAAGAUCGUCCAUGUGCUUUCGAUCCUUACAUCGUGCAUGCAUUUACAUUAUAAUACAAAUCAAGCAAAAAAGAAAUUUUCUGUUAAAUAUGUCGAUCACACAGUAAUAACGAGUCGUCCAAAGCUAUCGUCAUCUUGUUUCACUGAAUUUGUCCCGCAUGUCGUUAAUUAACGUGUCCGUCAACGAACCAAAUUAUUAGAGAGGACGACACACUGGUUUGAAUCACAAAAUUUAUGCGUACUUGUUUUCCUCUCUUUGUCAUUCACUUCCCCUCGCAUACUAUAAUCCUCUUCCAUUUGUCCAAAUGCAUUUUUUCUUUUCUUGAAAUAUAACAUCGGCCAAAGCGGAUUAGGUAAUGGAGAAACACGUGGUGUACGCGCACACGUGCAGGAACUUUAAACUCUAGCGCGACCACAUACGGUGCGCGAUUCGCAAAGCUACCCCAUUAAGACCCUAUAAGAAACGAGAGGAAUGACAAUACAUCUCGAUAAGAGCUGCAUAUGGAUAAGAAAUUAGCUUCAACUUCGUCUUGCUCCAUCGGAGCCUAUAAAACGUAACGUGACAACAACAACAAAAUGGAAAUAUUCUUAAGAAUAAAGUUUUGAUUAAGCAAAAUGAAGGAAAAAGUAAAAUUAAACAAGAAGUAAAACUUCAUUACGCGCUUCCAUGUACUACUCGCCAAUAUUCCAUCGUUUUUUAUCCCCGCUUCCUUUCAUCUUCGAUUGCAAAAUUACGAUUGAUGAAAGAACCGGCGAGGCUGAAAGGUGCGGAGUGACGAGUUCUAGCGUUUUCUAUAGGUGAUGUCACGGAUCUCGUUAACGAGAGUAGCCAACGGUGACAAGAGUAGAUACAGUAACGGGAGUAACCACGGUAACGAGAAUAGGCGGGAAUUGUAACGAUCCGGGUAAGUUAAAGGGGAAGAGCGCGAUGCGCGCGUGUAUGCACUGUAUUUUCCGGGAUGAAAGAGCACGUCGGCGUGCAAAUAAUCGCAAAGCGGCCGUGUUUGAUGGCCGAUCUCGUGCUUGGAGAACGACGCCUCCCUGAAGGAGGCAGUUGCGCCCACUCGGGAUUACACUUCCGGCAGUGACUGCGAAAAAUAAGGCGGACAGGUAAGCUCCCGGAAAUACCAAAUAGACUGUGUCAAUAUCUGCGUAUGCGAUGCACGUACUCUGCCGCGGGAAACGGGCACCAGCCGGAGAAGCAUCGGCAGCGAGCGAGAAAUUUUCAAGCGUGUUAUGUUUUACUAAGGGCUAUUUGUGUAUUUUAUCCAAAUAUGCGCGUGUGUACACAUCGUGCGCGUGUAUGGGCAGCAAGAGAGUGAAAAAGAAGCGAUUCCGGGUGAGUCGCCAUCGGGAAUUUUGAUAUCCCGUCGUCCGCGAGCUUCGCGGUGCUGUAUCCCUUUAUACCGCGUAUGACAUUUUCAUAAUUUUCCAGCGGAUGAAUACGGUGAAAUUUUAAAAAGAACUAAUCCCUUUGAAAAGUCAAAAUAAAAUAUUCAAAUAAAAUUAUAAAGCUCUUUGCGAAAUAAUGUACAGAGGCCGAAACCUAACGCAUUUUAUGGCUUGGAGUGUUGCACAACGCGCAAUCAAAUUCACAUCAAGGAACUGUGUGCAUGUGUUAUUAAACAUUUUUACAUUUUACUCACAAUCAGACGUAUCUCGUAUCGUAUUCGCGCAUUACAGUCGUAUUUACUGUUGUAAUUGUGUCAUCAAUUAUCUCGUUCUCUCUCAAUCAAAUUUUAUAAAGAGAAGAUUACGAUAAUUUGUAAAAAAUAACGGUGAAUUAGACUUAGUUAAAAAGUGGACGCGGUACGUGGCUUUGACGAAAAAUAUUUCUUCGCCAAGACGCACGGCUGUCGUCGUUACGGGGCACGAGCGCGAACACGCGCGUUAUCACGAUCAUUUUGGCGGCGAUAACGCAAUUCCAUGGUAUGCGAGGCUGCCGCACGUUCCGUGUAAUUGAGCUGUGCCGCCAGUCGUUUGAGAGGCACCGCAUUCCCGUCGGGUUAUUCUUCGGAAUAACACGUCCCUAAACGUCGCGUGUCGAGCUAUCUAAAUCUGCGAUUCCGCCAGGAAACCCACCCCGGCGCGCGAGGGUGAGCUCUGCGUGGAGCGUUGUAUUGCGCGCAUUACCAGCCGAGUGGAAGAGUUCUCGAUUACAUUCAGCAAUCUUCUAUCGAAUGCGUGUAUGCGCGUGUUCAAUUCGCGUGAUACUUCCGAUACCAAUCGAUUCAAAAUUAAACGUCCUGUGGAAACGAUAUGAAUAACAGCUUUGUUUGAAAUAUCGUGACAUAUCGUAAUUGUUUAAUACUAAUAUCAACAAAGAGCUGUAAAUGGACAAGAGAAAGAGAGAAAGAGAGGGAGACUAUGUGGGAUUUACGCAGACCUUGCUGUUCGUUUGGAAACGCAAUAUUAUCACAGUGUGCGUUUGUACAAAGCAUUAUACGCCGAACUUCGAACAGAUGAGAGAAGCUUUCUCCGAUUUAGAUUGGCAUAUCAUUAGCACUACAUGUAUUGUAAUUGAAAACACUUACCCUCGAUAGCGGGAUGGCGCGGCUUGUACGACAUGUCUGGAAAGAGAAAAGGUUAGUGCUGCGAGACGCAUGGAAAUAUAAAUGAACAAAACGUUUAUACAGCCUGCGUUUAAGGAUGAUACAAGCGCAACAUCGUUCUUUAGAUCCAGAAACUAUAAUCUGUGGAGAAAUAAUUCUUGGCCCAUGAAACCCCUUUAAUGAAGAGGUAUCAUGCAGCUGUUGUGAUGUCGAAAAUAAUUACAAGUUUCCAUAUGAAUUUCGAGAGAUCCGCGAAAAACAGAUAACCGAACGGCGAACGUGCAUUAUGAAAGGAACGUGAGAUCAGUGACGCAUUGUCUGUAUGUCGCCGCAGGAUGGGAAUAACGGGAGGAAAUAACUAAAAUUUUUCGAAACAGAAUAUUAAUUCCCCGCUUUUUUAUUAUCGUACGUAUUCUAAACAAAAUUCCGCACGCGGUGAGCGAAUGCAUAUUGCGAGCGAAAGAAAAAGAAAUGCGACAGCUCCACGUUAAAAUCCAGACGCUUAUUCUUCAAAAAAUUCGACUUUUCCUUUGAUAUUUAAAUCUGCGGCGUGAUGUGCGGCUUGCAUUGCAGCGCAGACGUGAUAAAUUUCAGAUACAAUUAAAUUAUGAAUACAUCACUGAGGCAAGUCUCAAAAAGAAUUCCAUAUUAAUUGCGAACGCGUUUUUUGUACAUGAAUCACCGCUGUUUUACGAACAAAUAGUACAAAAAGAAUUCGAGCUGGAUCUCGUCGGACCGUCCGCAAAGAAUACGCAAACGGCGACAGAAUCGAGCUCCGCGUCGCAAACCAAUCAACGUAGCAACGUAUUGAAACGCGCGAUGCGAAUAGCAGAGUGUUAAGGGCGUGCGCGAGUCGGGGGUGCCAUAAAUUUCCAAAUUGGACAUUCGGAAGAGAGCACGGCCAUGUCGGCCAGGACAUCGCUCAAGAUUGCAUAUAUGGUCUUCCAUGUAUACGUAUAUACUGCUGCAGUUCCAGCCACGCGGCGCUGCCAAACCGUCGAUAUGUAUGCAGGUCGACUCUAUGAGAAUUUGUGUACGCCGAUAUCGCACCGAUAUUCCCCCUUUCCGCGGGUGAGACGAGAUACGCCGGGAUGCUGCUGGGUUCGACGCACACGAGAAACACAUGUCGGCCGCUCACACAGGCUGCGAAGGAUCACACACGCCGACUGGCUUGCGAGACGCACAUUCGCAUGUGCGUGCAUACGUAAGAAUGGUACGAUACACGCGAUUCACAUAAGAGCACAAUGCGUAUGAGCUUUUCCGACUGAUAAAAUGUCAUGCGAAACACGUUCAUCCAUCUUUCUCAAAUGAGAUUUUCGUUCUGCUGUAUAGUUCAUUUUUAUUGCGCUAUAAUUUUUAUAUUAGUUAGAAAAUCUGUUUGCUCUGUCACAUGAGUGUUGAAUAUUUCAGUUAUGUUUUCAGUUACGUUUAUGAGUAGAAUUUUUUAUGAAUUUUAUUAAAACUUUUUGUACAAUAUAUCGUGGAAACAUGAUAUAUUAAAUUCAUAUUUUUAUUUAAUAUUAUCAACUGGUUAUAUAUAACUCUGUAUUUUUAAUCUGAGUUAGGAAUUUCUGCGUAUAUAUAGAUCUAUCAAUGGGACAUCAGAGCCUAACCGGAUAUCGACUCGGCGACAGAUAACAUCAAGACAAAAGGAAACAACACAGUUAAAUAAACCUGUUAAAUGACCAUGUUACGGAUUUGUGCACGGAACUUUGCAGAAACGGAAGGCAUACCGGAAGAUUGUAGAAAUCGAUGUUAUGCUCACUCGCGGUUUUGAUAGAGCGCAUUGGAUCCCAGGAAAAUUGUAGGACAGCAAAUAACGAUAAAGAAACAAGAGAAAGAAGUAGAAAGAGAAUAUGGUAACGGUAGAAUUUAUAAGGCAUCAUAUAUGUGGAAAAAGAAAAACCUUAAUUUAUAUUAUGCAUGUAUCAAUUAAAAAUUUCUGCUUUUGUUGAAAUUUGAUUAUUUCCCUUUGCAAAUGUGCGAGAUAAGGUAUAAAUAAAUGUGUUCAGUAUUUCAAUAAACAAAAGAAAAUGUAUAUAUAUAUAUAUAUAAUUACGAAAAAUAUGUAACAAUACAUUCAAACAGUUUCAAAUAAUUAUAUAUCAAUCACAUACAAAUAAGCAAGAAAAUAUACGUGUGAAUCUCAAAGUCACAAGAAAAGAAAAUACAAAAAUAGCCAAUGCUUUGUUCAAGCAAAGAAUCUCAUAAAUCAAAUUAAAGAAAAAUUUCUACUCAUCCGAUUGAUUCCGUGACUUCCAGAUAUCAGUCGCCUUUUUCGUUUUUCAGAUCUGUGCACAAAUCCGCCUUAAUUCUAUAUCGGUAAACUAUCCGCCAGUAACUAUCCGCCAGUGGAUCCACUUAUUUGUUCGCUCGCUACAACGGUCGCGUGAGAAAAGGGUCGAAUACAUCGUUACGCGUCUCGUCGUGCCGAUAUUUGUCUAUCGAUAUUUGAUGCCCGAAUCUUCCCGAGACAAUUGGGCAGAAUUAGCGCGAAGUUUAAACUAGUUUUCUCAACAGCUUUUAUGCAUAAGACGCAACAUAUAUAUUUUCUUGAUACAUUUGGAUAACACUUCGAGUCCAACUAUAUUUUAAUUAUAUAAUUAUAUAAUACAACGUACAACUAUUAUGCAAAACGCAAGAGGAAAUGAAAUAGAGUAUUUGAAAUCUGAGGACAAUCAAAGCGAGAUACUUUAACGUGCGCAAUAUAUUAUUCGGCGAUAUCGCACGCGGUUAAAUUUAAGCGUACGUAAAUAUUCGAUGCACGCAUGAUAACGUACAUUUUAGAACGAUUGAACGCGUUGAAGUGCAGUGCGCGUAAUUCGUACGCUUACAUCGCACGCGCGCGCGCUUUAUCGCGAUUCAUGAACAUAAUGUCUCAUAUAUCAGGGCUAUUUUCCGUGGAAGGGUUUCACGCGUGGUGCACGCAGACGCUAUUCCUCAUCGCCCCUUUUUUGCAUUCGACAGCGACGCGAGGGUCGUGAAAUCUCGCCAGAAACGGCGGUGUAGCACUCUCGACUUUCUGUUUCCUCGUCCGAGAGCGAAUGUACAUGGAACAUUGUCUAUCUGCCAAGUAGAUGAAGUCGCUAUGUGGCAUAUACCGAAGAGAAUAUUACACGGAAUGAGAGAACCAUAAUACUACAAAUGAAAUUUUACCCGCCUAGUUUAAGUAAAUUGUACGUAUACAAGCAUGGUCUAGUUCCCUCAAGCCUUAAAAAUAUAAAAAAAUGUUACGAUAAUAAUUUUAAUAAUGCGAUACGUGAUUAUUCAAGUAAAGAAGAAAGAGAAGACUGCACGAUGGACAAUUGUACCAUUAAAAUUAAUCAGACGCUAUUAUUAAAGAGUAAACUGUGUCGUUUUGAAUUAUUUAAGUUGCGCACGACACAAAUGAUGGAAAUAUAUUAUACAUGUAGUUUCGGAUCGAAACAAGAGACUUUACGUAUGUACAUAUUACCACAUUGCCCGAUAAGUCGAUAGCUUGCUGUUGCCAUAAAAAGAUAUUGUAUCGAACGGUGUAUCUUCAUCUACCUACAGUAGUGAUAAACAAUAUGGGUAUAUUUACCCUCUUUCGGUCUAGGAACACUCUUGUGAUAAGGACGCGCCGUAUUUUCUGCAAGUGCACUUUAUUUUGCGUAAACAACGGUAUCUCUUUAUCGCACGUGCUAGUAAAAUGCACGCCAUUCCGUGAAAAUUGUGGAGCGUCGCGCGAUGUAAAUGUAAAUUGCGCUUCACGCGUGCGGGUAAAAAUAUCUUCGUUUACGGAGAUGGCAUUUAGUAUCGCAACAACAGGGACACCGCGUUUAUUUAUUAGCGUGUCCUGCGAAAAAUUUCGCAUUUUUCUAGAGCGACACGUGCGUGCGUGCGCGGAUAUUCGGACGAUCCGAAGGUUCGAUCCGAAAAUUUGACACCUUCGUAGCACAUUCGCAGCGCGGAACGCAGAACGCGAAUUUGUGUUUGUCUGAACCGAGAUUAGCCGCAGCUACAAUGUGUCCGCAACCAACUCGAUCAAUAGAUGCGUGUCAGUCACGUUUCCGCGGCCUCAGUUAGGAGGACGAGUCAGUAUGCAUAAUGGCUCCUUCGCGUAACAAGAGUUCUUGUAUCCGGGUGAUCGGCGACUUGGAUCUUUGGGUUCAUCGGACGGAAAAAUUCGGACGGGGUAAGGACGUUAUCCCAAGGCCAGCGUCGACAAAGUAGGAUUCAAGGCACCGUGAAAUGGGUUAACGGAUAAUUACACAACAGGAAAAAUCGCCGAUAAAGUGAGCGACGAUAUAUCACGCGGUAAAAACCUCGCGAUAAGUAGAAAACAUUUUCGUACCGCUUGCAAGCGGAAUAUUAAUGUAAGAACGUAACUUGCGACGUGAAAAUAUCGCAGGCCACCUUAUAACAUUAAUUUCUUUCGACGUUAUUUGAUAGCGCCGUCUUCAUUCGAGCAGCUGUGAAUUUCUGUUGUAAUAAUGAAUUAAUGUCACGCGAGCUAGCGAUCGAUCUACUUCUACGGGGGACAAGCGACAGGGAGCUGAGACUUAAUGGUCGCAUAAUCAUACAUCGGUAUUAAGAAUAAAUUCUUUGUGCCACGCCUGAUUUUCGUUGCAUAAUUAUAAUAAUUAAAGGUUGGGCGGAGAGCGGGAACAGUUAGUUGAAACGUGUGCAGCACGAGCAGCAUUAAUAUUGAUGGUGGAUUAAUUAACUCGUGAUGAUUAUUAGCAUGCCCUAAGCAUACGAUUAAAAAAGUAAUGAUAUAUAUUCAUAACCAUGCAGUUUAUCCGCUCUAUAGUGGCCAAUAAAUGUAAUUAUAAUUUUCUAAUUUCAAGGACUGGCGCAAAAGGUUAAUAAAAUCUGAAAGCGAACAAAACUGAUUACACAUGCAUCUCGUUUGAUUUGUAAAUAUAAAAAUCGUCUUAUAUUUGUACUUUAAUAUCUCGUCUUAUCAGUACACAGAAUUUACAAGGCAAGCCAGACAAGUCAAACUGUGUGGAUAAUUUGUACGAUUAAUUGCGAUAAUAAACCGCAAUUGAUGUCAGCUGCGUGCAAAAUUAAUUCGCACCUAGAUACCACCCUCCCAAUUUAACGAAACGACCUCGGUAUUCGUAAUACAUAGAAAUUAUAACCAGUUAAUUAACAUUCCACGUAACUUUAUAGUCUACAUACUGCGCACGCCGAGAUCGGAUCGACAGAUUGCAUAAUUUUGCGAACGUCGAAUGCAUCCACCUGACGAUGAUGACGACGACGACAACGACGACGGGCCGAAAAGGCGUAAAAAACGCGCCAGGCGAGGCGCGGCGAACGUCAAUCAGCGCGCGCUGGAAAUUACGAAGUUCCGGCAAACUCUCGAGCGUAAGUUUGACGUUCUUAACAAGGCGCACCCCCGGCUGGUCCGCGCGCAGUUUUUCCGAUGGAAUUUUACAGGGCUCCGGGGGACGACGACCGGCACGGCGCCUGGAAGGAGGAAAUGGCGCGGAAAGUGCCCUUUCCCCGCGAAAUCGUGCCGCCAAGAGGGAGUAACGAAGAAAGGAAUCGCGACGGUUUUAUUAAAUUAAACGUCAGCCGCGCCGACAAGGUUUUCCGAAGAAGUCGCAGUCCUUAGCGACCGACUCGCGCACCCCUUCCGCCCUCUGGGUACCCCUCGUAAAAAGCUGACCGCGUCGGAUUGCAUGCGGCCGUUUCGAGUAUGCGGUUUCCGCCGCCGGAAGUCGGCCUCUCGCCUCACGGUGAAAUUAAAGUUCCCUCUUCUUUGUCGCGCGUUUUGUUUUAUAAGGGUUUGUCCGAUUACGAAAUACAGAUUAAUGUUUCUCGAGCAGAACACUAGAGAAUUGUAGCAUUCUAUGUUUUGUCUCGGGGAGAAAAAGUUUAUAAAUAUCUGUGCUUUCGUUCAACAGAAUAAAUUAUUAGACUUAAUAAGCUGAUUUAUCUGUCAAUCUAUUCGUGCGUCGUCUUUGUGCAAACAUUACGGAAUGUUCAUUUAAGCUGAUGCCUCGAGUCACGAACCGAGCUUGCAACAGUAAAACAAUCUGUAUUAGAUGUUUUGCGACGUAUUGUUUCGGUUACUUUUAACGCAAAUAAAAUACAAUAUCGAGUAGGUAGGCGUCGACGCGAGAAGACCAUAAUAGGAAAACUAUUUGGCGUAAGUAAUCGCGACAAAAAGCGCGCGCGAAUUCCUGCAGCGAACGAGCCUGGAAAGGACGCUUCGGGGCUUCUUGCCGAAGACUGCUGAUACGCGAUGCUUUUUCUCAUCGUGAAAGUUUUCGAGUUUCAGCAAGCUUGAGGAAGGUUCAGGGCGGUAUGGAAGCGUACGACGAGAAAAUGUCCGUAAUGGAGCGCUGGUAGGAAGGUCCAGGUACGAACGAAACGAGGAAGAAGAAAAGAUGGAGAGAUAGAGAGAAAUACAGAAAAGGAUGGUGAAAAGAAGCAGAGAGAACGGGAGAGAAAGAGGAAGUGAGAGAGGGGGGGGGGAGGAAGUGAGAGAGAAGCUACGUAGUUGGUAGAAUUUAUAGGUGCCGGACUUAUUAACUCGACGGCGAAGUUAACAUUAAUCUUGACUCCAACUCGGUAACUCGCGAACAAUCCCAAUCGCGAGCGAUUGGCGCGACCUUCCCACCCUCGCGUCGAUCGGCCCGCCACUGCGCUGUUCAUCUUCGUCCUCGGAAAUCUCGAGAACCGCCGCGAGCGAGGACGAAAGGGGGAACGGAAGGAAGAACGGAUUUUCUUUGCCAACGUAGAGAGGAAACGAACGCCGGAUAUGCAGAAGCGCGCCAUUGUGCCGGUUCCCGGUUUCCGCUGGGAUGGAAGGGGUGGGAGAUCCGCGAAGUUGCUCGUUCGACAAUCCCGACGGAGAGUUAAUUCGAAGCGAGCUCGAAAGGAUUGGACGAAUCUACGGGCGGGGAAAGGGGGGGGAUCGAACUUGCUACGGGAGGAGCACUCCUCCGGCGCGGGGUGCUCGAUGGCGCGACCCCGUGCUUAAAUCAACUUGAUACUUCGAUUAGUUUCUUUCCCGCGAAAGUUUUUGGCCUGGAUUUGAAUGCGCGGACGAGGAUACGCCAUCGGCGAAACCGGAAGUUCUCGAGAAAAACCGACUGCUAGCAGGUACUGGAGCGAGAUACGUUAUCGCGAGGGCGACAAUCGUUCGGGAAUUAAACUGUGUGCAUUAAUUCAACGAGUGAUCAUUUAUGACAGGGUAGUGGAAGCAGAUUGAAAUGUAAAACUCGCAUCGCGAUAUUUAAUCGCUCUGGUUAAUUUUAUUCGUAAAACACACAAAUUAGGAGAAUUUUACAUUAUUAUUUUGUGCAAUAUUAGCUUUAAUUAACAUUUAAUCUCUCUGAUCUGCAUUAAAGUGUGCGAGCGAGAAAAUUCGUACGUUCCAUUUAUUGUUCCCGUAGCAAAAUCUAUAUAGGGUAAGAGGUACAAUCAUUGACACCGAUAUAGUUAUUGACACAUUAAUUUUUUUAAUUGAAAUUUCUCGACACAUGCAUGGCUCUUGUGUGAAACGUUCAUAUGCUCGUACAAAGUACGAGUAAGCUCUUACCCUAUGUACAGGGUGUCCCGGGUUUUAACCGACAAACUGCGGGAG